AAUGCCUGUCUUAUUACAUAAAAUGUGGAAGUUUCAGAAUGAUGUGAUCUUAAACUCUUACAUUGUAUAACUAAUGAGGAUCCCUUGUUGAACAUUAGGUGAGCUGAACAACUGUUCUAAGCGAUGGAAUGCAACUAAAGAGCAGCAUAUACUGAAGAUUUCUGUUUUGUGUACUACUGAAGGAGAGAAGGGAGGCAUAUAGCUGAGUUCUCAGUCUUCUUCAGUUCCAUAGCCAUCUUGGCAACCUGCAGAGGACUACAAAUAUUUGCUGUAGAACCAUCUGUACUCAAUAUGUAGCUCAAACAUGCAAUAAGGAUGAAAAUAAAAAGGAGAA